rnacentral:rRNA from 4 species
UUCGGUAUGUAAAGUUCUUUUAUUGAAGAAGAAAAAAUAGUGGAAAAACUAUCUUGACGAUAUUCAAUGAAUAAGCCCCGGCAAACUAUGUGUCAGCAGCCGCGGUAAUACAUAGGGGGCGAGCGUUAUCCGGAAUUAUUGGGCGUAAAGGGUGCGUAGGCGGUUUGGUAAGUCUAUAGUUUAAUUUCAGUGCUUAACACUGUUCUGCUAUAGAAACUAUCAGACUAGAGUGAGAUAGAGGCAAGUGGAAUUCCAUGUGUAGCGGUAAAAUGCGUAAAUAUAUGGAGGAACACCAGAGGCGUAGGCGGCUUGCUGGGUCUUUACUGACGCUGAGGCACGAAAGCGUGGGGAGCAAACAGGAUUAGAUACCCUGGUAGUCCACGCCGUAAACGAUGAGUACUAAGUGUCGGGGAAACUCGGUACUGAAGUUAACACAUUAAGUACUCCGCCUGAGUAGUACGUACGCAAGUAUGAAACUUAAAGGAAUUGACGGGACUCCGCACAAGCGGUGGAUCAUGUUGUUUAAUUCGAAGAUACACGAAAAACCUUACCAGGUCUUGACAUACUCUGCAAAGCUAUAGCAAUAUAGUGGAGGUUACCAGGGAUACAGGUGGUGCAUGGUUGUCGUCAGCUCGUGUCGUGAGAUGUUAGGUUAAGUCCUAAAACGAGCGCAACCCUUGUCACUAGUUGCCAGCAUGUUAUGAUGGGCACUUUAGUGAGACUGCCAAUGAAAAAUUGGAGGAAGGUGAGGAUCACGUCAAAUCAUCAUGCCCCUUAUGAUCUGGGCUACAAACGUGAUACAAUGGCUGUUAC